GAUGAACGCUAGCUCCAGGCUUAACACAUGCAAGUCGAGGGACCGGCGCAUGGGUGAGUAACACUUAUCCAACCUUCCCUUUACUCCGGGAUAGCCUUUCGUAAGAAUGAUUAAUACCCGCUAUACAGGAUGGGGAUGCGUUCCAUUAGGUUGUUGGUGAGGUAACGGCACACCAAGCCUUCGAUGGUUAGGGGUGCGGAGAGGAAGGUCCCCCGCAAUGGAGCUAAGGCACGGUCCAAACUGCGACGGAGGGCAGGAGUGAGGAAUAUUGUUGAAGGAGGGCUAGCCUGGACCAGCCGAGUAGCGGAAAAGAGGAAGGCUUAUGGGACGUAAACUUGUUUUAUAGAAGAAUAUGUAUUAAAUGAAUAAGGAACGGCUAACUCCGUGCCAGCCGCCGCGGUAAUUC
rnacentral:rRNA from 1 species